rnacentral:rRNA from 1 species
AUUGAACGCUGGCGGCAGGCCUAACACAUGCAAGUCGAACGAGUGGCGGACGUGUGAGUAAUGUCUGGGAAACUGCCUGAUGGAGGGGGAUAACUUCUGGAAACGGUAGCUAAUACCGCAUACCAUCGGAUGUGCCCAGAUGGGAUUAGCUAGUAGGUGGGGUAACGGCUCACCUAGGCGACGCUCCCUAGCUGGUCUGAGAGGAUGACCAGCCACACUGGGACUGAGACACGGUCCAGACUCCUACGGGAGGCAGCAGUGGGGAAUAUUGCACAAGGGGCGCAAGCCUGAUUCAGCCAUGCCGCGGGUAUGAAGAAGGCCUUCGGGUUGUAAAGGACUUUCAGCGGGGAGGCGUUACCCGCAGAGGAAGCACCGGCUAACUCCGUGCCAGCCGCCGCGGUAAUUC